CUUACCUUAAUUUAUGGUCAACUUGUCACAAUCAUCACACAUUAUAAUAUUGCAAUUUGAAUACAGCAUAUUCAAAUGAUUGUGCCAGCGUAUACAUCUGAUAAUAUCAUCAUCCAUGGCGAUUCAAGAAGAACAGAAGACCAGUUUAGUCAUCGUCACCUAUGAUUUACUACUACAAAUAUCUAAGAUUCCAAAAUCGAUAUUGAAAACCUGCAGGGUGACGAAAUUCUAUUUGAAGAUAGAAAUGGCCAGAUAAAUUGGGUGCGGGUAAAGUAGGGAAAUAGAACUGAUAGAAAUAUAUGAAAGGGAUGGAUAUGGCUGGACGGACCGCCUGGCUUUAUAGGUAGAGUUGUGCUAGCUGUACAGGCUGUACAGGCCACACACAAACAGAGGGGUGGGUGAAUUAUUAUUUUUAAAUAAUCACCCACCCCCCACCCGCCCAGCUAUUCAUUAAUGCUGGCCAGUACAGCCAGCAUUAGUGUUAUAGGGAAUAUUAGAGAAGUAACUCGUUCAAAGUGCGAUGGAGAAGGCUAUCCGGAGCCCUUUUUAUAGCCCAAUCCAACUCUCAAGGGAAACUGCAAGUUACAGGGUCUCCUUUAAAUCUGACAUGUUUUCCCUGUAAAAUGAAGAUUAAGCUUAUGCUGAAACAAGUUUAUAGUGAGACAGGCAUGCACAGAAGUUACUGAAACAAUAUGAUAAGGACUACCUUUUCUUCUGUCCUUUUAGUCUCUUCUGCUUCCCAGUAUUCAAGCAGCAAUACUAAUCAAUAAGCUGGUUUACAGAUUCCAAAUCGAUAUUGAAAGCCUGCAGGGUGAUGAAAUUCUAUUUGAAGAUAGAAAUGGCCGGAUUAAUUGGGUGCAGAUAAAGUAGGGAAAUUAUGUCUGAAAGAAAUAUAUGAAAAAUGAAGAACCUGUUGAAAUGGGAUGGAUCUGGCUGAACGGGCCGCCUGGCUUUAUAGGGAAUAUUAGAGAAAAGUGCGAUGGAGAAGGCUAUCCGGAGCCCUUUUUAUAGCCCAAUCCAACUCUCAAGAGAAACUGCAAGUUACAGAGUCUCCUUUAAAUCUGACAUGUUUUCUCUGUAAAAUGAAGAUGAUGCUUAUGCUGAAACAAGAUUAUAGUGAAAGCAUGCACAGUAGUUACUGAAACAAUACGAUAAGUACUACCUUUUCUUCUGCCUUUUGGUCUCUUCUGCUUCCCAGUACUCAAGCAGCAAUACUAAUCAAUAAGCGGGUUUACAGAUUCCAAAUCGAUAUUGAAAGCCAGCAGGGUGAUGAAAUUCUAUUUGAAGAUAGAAAUGGCAGGAUUAAUUUGGAAACGAA